rnacentral:precursor_RNA from 12 species
AAAAGAAGACAUGAAGUCUCUUUUAUCUGGAAGGGGAAGUGGUGCGUUAGAUUUGCUUUAAAUUAUGUCAUAGGCGCUAUUUCCUCUGCCAGAAGGAAGAGUUCAUUCUUACUGGCUGCU